GUGAACGCUGGCGGCGUGCCUAACACAUGCAAGUCGAACGAUGAUAGAGAGCUUGCUCUCUUGAUUAGUGGCGCACGGGUGAGUAUACCAUAGAUAAUGUACCUCUUAGUUCGGGAUAGCCACUGGAAACGGUGAUUAAUACCGGAUACUUCUUCUUACUCUAAGGUAAGUCGGGAAAGUUUUUUCGCUAAGAGAUCAGUUUAUGUCCUAUCAGCUAGUUGGUGAGGUAAUGGCUCACCAAGGCUAUGACGGGUAUCUGGUUUGAGAGGAUGAUCAGACACACUGGAACUGAGACACGGUCCAGCCUCCUACGGGAGGCAGCAGUGAGGAAUAUUGCACAAUGUAGGAAACUCUGAUGCAGCAACGCCGCGUGGAGGAUGACGCAUUUCGGUGUGUAAACUCCUUUUAAGAGGGAAGAUAAUGACGGUACCUCUUGCCUAAGCACCGGCUCCCUCCGU
rnacentral:rRNA from 1 species